GUGCUCGCUUCGGCAGCACAUAUACUAAAAUUGGAAUGAUACAGAGAAGAUCAGCAUGGCCCCUGCACUUUGUGAAGCGUUCCAUAUUUUU
ensembl:snRNA LOC120094406 U6 spliceosomal RNA